AUUGAACGCUGGCGGCAUGGCUAAAACAUGCAAGUCGAACGCGAAAGCACUUCGGUGCAAGUAGAGUGGCGAAAGGGCGAGGAAUAAGUACCUAACGUGCCUUCAGGUAAGGGAUAGCUCAUGGAAACGUGUGGUAAUACCUUAUAAUCUCAUUAGUUCAUAUGGACUUUUGAGCAAAGGCUUGCUGCCUGAAGAUCGGGGUACUUCCUAUCAGCUUGUUGGUAAGGUAACGGCUUACCAAGGCUAAGACGGGUAGCGGGUGUGAGAGCAUGACCCGCCGCAUCGGGACUGAGACACUGCCCGG
rnacentral:rRNA from 1 species